AGAGUUUGAUCCUGGCUCAGAAUCAACGCUGGCGGCGUGCCUAACACAUGCAAGUCGCACGAGAAAGGGUCUUCGGAUCUGAGUAAAGUGGCGCACGGGUGAGUAACACGUGAAUCAUCUACCUUCGAGUGGGGAAUAACUGAGAGAAAUCUUAGCUAAUACCGCAUAAUACCUACGGGUCAAAGCAGCAAUGCGCUUGAAGAGGAGUUCGCGGCAGAUUAGUUAGUUGGCGGGGUAAUGGCCCACCAAGACGAUGAUCUGUAUCCGGCCUGAGAGGGCGCACGGACACACUGGAACUGAAACACGGUCCAGACUCCUACGGGAGGCAGCAGUGGGGAAUUUUGCGCAAUGGGGGAAACCCUGACGCAGCAACGCCGCGUGGAGGAUGAAAUAUCUUGGUAUGUAAACUCCUUUCGAUGGGGAAGAUUAUGACGGUACCCAUAGAAGAAGCCCCGGCUAACUUCGUGCCAGCAGCCGCGGUAAUACGAGGGGGGCAAGCGUUGUUCGGAAUUAUUGGGCGUAAAGGGUGCGUAGGCGGUUUGAUAAGUCUGAUGUGAAAUCUAUGGGCUCAACCCAUAGUCUGCAUCGGAAACUGUCGGGCUUGAGUAUGGGAGAGGUGAGUGGAAUUUCCGGUGUAGCGGUGAAAUGCGUAGAUAUCGGAAGGAACACCUGUGGCGAAAGCGGCUCACUGGACCAUUACUGACGCUGAUGCACGAAAGCUAGGGGAGCAAACAGGAUUAGAUACCCUAGUAGUCC
rnacentral:rRNA from 1 species